rnacentral:rRNA from 1 species
GGUUAACCGUAUAGGGGAGCCGGAGGGAAACCGAGUCUUAACCGGGCGUUAAGUUGCAGGGUAUAGACCCGAAACCCGGUGAUCUAGCCAUGGGCAGGUUGAAGGUUGGGUAACACUAACUGGAGGACCGAACCGACUAAUGUUGAAAAAUUAGCGGAUGACCUGUGGCUGGGGGUGAAAGGCCAAUCAAACCGGGAGAUAGCUGGUUCUCCCCGAAAGCUAUUUAGGUAGCGCCUCGUGAAUUCAUCUCCGGGGGUAGAGCACUGUUUCGGCUAGGGGGCCAUCCCGGCUUACCAACCCGAUGCAAACUGCGAAUACCGGAGAAUGUUAUCACGGGAGACACACGGCGGGUGCUAACGUCCGUCGUGAAGAGGGAAACAACCCAGACCGCCAGCUAAGGUCCCAAAGUCAUGGUUAAGUGGGAAACGAUGUGGGAAGGCCCAGACAGCCAGGAUGUUGGCUUAGAAGCAGCCAUCAUUUAAAGAAAGCGUAAUAGCUCACUGGUCGAGUCGGCCUGCGCGGAAGAUGUAACGGGGCUAAACCAU